AUUUGGAAGGAUUCAUAGCUGCUGAGUAACUUCGUUGAAAUGGCAAGAAAAAGACAGAGAAAUUCUAGUCAAGAUUCUGAGCAAUAAAAACAACAAAUCGGAAGUAUGUCAAUGCCUCAACCGCCCCAAAAUUGGCCACAAAAUGAAAGAGAUGAAUCACAUGAUACAAAAAAUCUUCCAGAUUCUGAGCAACAAAAACAACAAAUCGGAAGUAUGUCAAUGCCUCAAC